AGUAGCUCAGUUGGAUAGAGCAACGGCCUUCUAAGCCGUGGGUCGGGGGUUCGAAUCCCUCCUG
rnacentral:tRNA from 3 species